rnacentral:lncRNA from 1 species
AAAGUUCACUUGAAUAUCUAAUUCAAACUACAAUCCAGAAAAUUCUGUUAGAUUGCCACUUCAACUGAAGAUGCUUCAGACACUCUAGAAUAGUUUUCCUAGAGUAGUUCAUAGACUACUCCAGAUAUUAACCUUUGCUUUUUUUCUGUAUCUGUAGAAAUGCCUCAUAUUAAAGACCUGUUUGCCUGCAUCAUAUAUGGAAUCCUAACUUUGAUGAGAACCUGUCUAUAACAGCACCUCCUGAAAUAAGAUUCAACUGUUUAACAAAAUAGACCCAUUUUCAGUACUAAGAGAAUGAUUCAAGAAGACAUGAGACUACAUCACUAACUAUAGCCAGCUACCUCAGGAUCCUGAACUAUUGGUUACAAGGUAAUGAUGUGAAAAUUAAACUAACUUAAUACAUCUCUUCUAAAGAAAAGAAAAGAAGAUGUCCUAUAUUUGUGUUGCUUAUUUUCAUAUAUGAAGGAGAGCAUAUAUACAUAUUUUUAAAUAUUCCUAAUAUUAAAUUGAAAAAUUUUCCUUCUUUACUCAUAUCACCAGUAAUUUCAUAGGACACUUUAUCAGUCAGGACCCAACCAGAAAAAGACAAGCCACUAUUAGUAUUUAAAACAGAAAAAAUUUGGUACCAGGAAUUGGUACACAGAUGAUAGAGUUGCUCAGAAGCUACCCAGGAGUAGUGAAGCAAUCCACAGAUUAGCAAUUGAAGAAAGAUGGAAACAUUUCUAAAUUGGUGAUGAAAAGAAACUGGGGGUAUUAACAGAGGCCGGGGCCAGAGUCACCUGGUGGAAGCUGGGAGCACAAUGGGCCUGUCUGGGGAAGGCAGAGCCAAAGAAGAGAUGUAGCUAGUAUAGAUGAUGCUACUUGAGACAGACAGAAAGGGCAGGAAACACCCUAGCUUCUCCCUUCUUCCUGCCCUCUUAUUUCAAGUGUUUCUCUCAUUGUCCAGAGUUGGAAACCAGUGACAGGAAAGGGUGGAAAGCAUAGUUUAUGGGAAUCAGCUCCAUGAGCUAGAACAGAGGAAGAAAUUGAUUAAAGGGCAAAUGGGUCAAGGAUUGGAUCGGACAUUCAAUGUGUUGGGAAACAGGAAGAAAGACAUACAAAUUUAUUACCAUGCACAUGUGUUCACAGGAGUCAUACAAAGUAUAAAAAAAGAAAGGCAAGAUAGUUGAUGCACAAAUAUCCUUUUUAUUGGAGAUAUGGGGAAUGGGGGUUGUAGGAGUAAAUGAUUUUCAGGGGAAAUCAAUGAGCCCAAAGAACAAUGAAGUGGGGCCAAGUUUCUCUGAACCCUGAGGGAGGUGGCAUUAUAGAUUAUAGAGGAGUGAAGGAAGGAAAGUAUUUCAAGCAAAGGCUGUUCUGUUCUGCAG